rnacentral:rRNA from 1 species
GACGAACGCUGGCGGCGUGCUUAACACAUGCAAGUGGUGCGACGAACCAGGGCUUGCCCUGGGGCAAAGCCGCGAACGGGUGAGUAACACGUGAGUAACCUGCCCCGAUGACCGGGACAACCCGAGGAAACUCGGGCUAAUACCGGAUGUGGCGCACAGGCAUCAGCCUGUUCGCUAAAGGAAGCUUCGGCCUCCGCAUUGGGAGGGGCUCGCGGCCCAUUAGCUUGUUGGUGGGGAACGGCCUACCAAGGCAACGAUGGGUAGCUGGUCUGAGAGGACGAUCAGCCACACUGGGGACUGAGACACGGCCCAGACUCCUACGGGAGGCAGCAGUGGGGAAUCUUGCGCAAUGCGCGAAAGCGUGACGCAGCAACGCCGCGUGGGGGAAGAAUGCCUUCGGGUUGUAAACCCC